rnacentral:tRNA from 1 species
GCCUUCGUGGUUUAACGGUAGCACACUCGGCGCGUAUUUGAGAGGUCCAGGUUCGAUUUCUGGCGAGGGCA